CGGCGUGCCUAAUACAUGCAAGUUGAGCGCUGAAUGUUGGUACUUGUACCGACUGGAUGAGCAGCGACCGGGUGAGUAACGCGUGGGGAAUCUGCCUUUGAGCGGGGGACAACAUUUGGAAACGAAUGCUAAUACCGCAUAAAAACUUUAACACAAAGUUUUAAGUUGAAAGCAUGCAAUUGCAUCACUCAAAGAUGAUCCCGCGUUGUAUUAGCUAGUUGGUGAGGUAAAGGCUCACCAAGGCGAUGAUACAUAGCCGACCUGAGAGGGUGAUCGGCCACAUUGGGACUGAGACACGGCCCAAACUCCUACGGGAGGCAGCAGUAGGGAAUCUUCGGCAAUGGACGAAAGUCUGACCGAGCAACGCCGCGUGAGUGAAGAAGGUUUUCGGAUCGUAAAACUCUGUUGGUAGAGAAGAACGUUGGUGAGAGUGGAAAGCUCAUCAAGUGACGGUAACUACCCAGAAAGGGACGGCUAACUACGUGCCAGCAGCCGCGGUAAUACGUAGGUCCCGAGCGUUGUCCGGAUUUAUUGGGCGUAAAGCGAGCGCAGGUGGUUUAUUAAGUCUGGUGUAAAAGGCAGUGGCUCAACCAUUGUAUGCAUUGGAAACUGGUAGACUUGAGUGCAGGAGAGGAGAGUGGAAUUCCAUGUGUAGCGGUGAAAUGCGUAGAUAUAUGGAGGAACACCGGUGGCGAAAGCGGCUCUCUGGCCUGUAACUGACACUGAGGCUCGAAAGCGUGGGGAGCAAACAGGAUUAGAUACCCUGGUAGUCCACGCCGUAAACGAUGAGUGCUAGAUGUAGGGAGCUAUAAGUUCUCUGUAUCGCAUCUAAUGCA
rnacentral:rRNA from 1 species